rnacentral:rRNA from 1 species
UACGUAGGGUGCAAGCGUUAAUCGGAAUUACUGGGCGUAAAGCGUGCGCAGGCGGUUCGUUGUGUCGGCGGUGAAAGCCCCGGGCUUAACCUGGGAAUGGCCGUCGAAACUGGCGAACUGGAGUGUGGCAGAGGGGGGUGGAAUUCCGCGUGUAGCAGUGAAAUGCGUAGAGAUGCGGAGGAACACCGAUGGCGAAGGCAGCCCCCUGGGCUGACACUGACGCUCAAGCACGAAAGCGUGGGGAGCAAACAGG